rnacentral:ncRNA from 1 species
AAGAGCCGUAUGAAUCGAGAGGUUCACGUACGGUUCUGUGAGGGACUGCGGGUGCAAUUCCCGCGGUCUACUCGAC